rnacentral:lncRNA from 1 species
UUUCGUUGUGUAUUCUUACCUGAAGUCUAGAAGAAUAUUUUAGCCGUGGCAAUUUUCGUUGUGUAUUCUUACCCUGAAGUCUAGAAGAAUAUUCUAGCCGUGGCAAUUGAUUACAGGGACAUGAUAGGGAUCACAUUGUUCUUGUAUAGGGUACAUUUGUUCUACAAAUAAAGUUUGUAGAUUUGUAGCAGAUGCAUCUUCCAUCAAAAUGGAACUGUGAUGAGAUCUCAAUACAAGGUGUUCAAUCCAUCAAUUGUGUGAUUUAUGAUGGAUGAUUCUGCAAGAGAGUUAAUUUUUUGAUGUUGCUUGUAUAAUUUUUAUUUAUGGCAAGUUUGCAUACAUUUCCCUCCAAUACAAGUGUUGUCCCAAAUCCUA